rnacentral:rRNA from 1 species
UACGUAGGUGGCAAGCGUUGUCCGGAUUUAUUGGGUUUAAAGGGUGCGUAGGCGGUUCUGUAAGUCAGUGGUGAAAUACGGCAGCUUAACUGUCGAGGUGCCAUUGAUACUGUAAGACUUGAGUACUGAUGAGGUAGGCGGAAUUGACGGUGUAGCGGUGAAAUGCUUAGAUAUCGUCAAGAACACCGAUAGCGAAGGCAGCUUACUAAGGAGUAACUGACGCUGAUGCACGAAAGUGUGGGGAUCAAACAGG